rnacentral:rRNA from 1 species
UUGCUAUCGGGACAGGACUAAGACAUGCUAGUUUUGCGUUUCCAAGCUACGAUGGAGACGCGGCGCACAGCUCAGUAACACGUGGCCAACCUGCCCUUAGGACGAGUAUAACCCCGGGAAACUGGGGAUAAUUCUUGAUAGGUGAGGAAUUCUGGAAUGAGUCUUCGCCUAAAGGACGCUCAGAUCAUGCUUCUGUUCGUUGCCUAAGGAUGGGGCCGCGGCCGAUCAGGUUGUUGGUGAGGUAACGGCUCACCAAACCUAUAACCGGUACGGGCCGUGAAAGCGGAAGCCCGGAGAUGGGCACUGAGACAAGGGCCCAGGCCCUACGGGGCGCAGCAGUCGCGAAAACUCCGCAAUACGCGAAAGCGUGACGGGGCUAUCCCGAGUGCUAUUCGUUGAGAGUAGCUUUUCCUCAGUGUAAAGUUCUGGGGGAAUAAGGAGGGGGCAAGACUGGUGUCAGCCGCCGCGGUAAUACCAGCUCUCCGAGUGAUAGGGACGUUUAUUGGGCCUAAAGCAUCCAUAGCUUGCUGAGUCUGUCCUCCGUUAAAUCCAACGAUUUAAUCGUUGGGCUGCGGGGGAUACUGCUUAGCUAGGAGGCGGGAGAGGCCGACGGUAUUUCCGGGGUAGGGGUGAAAUCCUAUAAUCCCGGGACGACCACCAGUGGCGAAGGCUGUCGGCCAGAACGCGCUCGACGGUGAGGGAUGAAAGCUGGGGGAGCAAACCGGAUUAGAUACCCGGGUAGUCCCAGCUGUAAACGAUGCAGGCUAGGUGUUGGUGUGGCUACGAGCCGCUCCGGUGCCGCAGGGAAGCCGUUAAGCCUGCCGCCUGGGAAGUACGGCCGCAAGGCUGAACUUAAAGGAAUUGGCGGGGGAGCACCACAAGGGGUGAAGCUUGCGGUUUAAUU